GACGAACGCUGGCGGCGUGCCUAAUACAUGCAAGUCGAACGCAGUGGGGACGGGGGAGGAACACGUGGGUGACCUCCCAUCAGAGGGGAUAACACUUGGCAACAGGUGCUAAACCGAUACUGAUGGAUGGACCCGCGGUGCAUUAGCUAGGUGGUGGGGUAACGGCUCACCAAGGCCACGAUGCAUAGCGGAUCUGAGAGGGUGAUCGGCCACACUGGAACUGAGACACGGCCCAGACUCCUACGGGAGGCAGCAGUAGGGAAUCUUGCGCAAUGGGCGAAAGUCUGAUCGAGCAACGCCGCGUGUGUGAAGAAGGUUUUCGGAUCGUAAAACUCUGUUGUUAGAGAAGCGUUACUCAACCAGAAAGCACCGGCUAACUACGUGCCAGCAGCCGCGGUAAUUC
rnacentral:rRNA from 1 species